rnacentral:rRNA from 1 species
AUUGAACGCUGGCGGCAUGCCUUACACAUGCAAGUCGUACGGCAGCACGGGUGCUUGCACCUGGUGGCGAGUGGCGAACGGGUGAGUAAUACAUCGGAACGUACCUUAUCGUGGGGGAUAACGCAGCGAAAGCUGUGCUAAUACCGCAUACGCCCUGAGGGGGAAAGCGGGGGAUCGCAAGACCUCGCGCGAUUAGAGCGGCCGAUGCCUGAUUAGCUAGUUGGUGGGGUAAAAGCCCACCAAGGCGACGAUCAGUAGCUGGUCUGAGAGGACGAUCAGCCACACUGGGACUGAGACGCGGCCCAGACUCCUACGGGAGGCAGCAGUGGGGAAUUUUGGACAAUGGGGGCAACCCUGAUCCAGCAAUGCCGCGUGAGUGAAGAAGGCCUUCGGGUUGUAAAGCUCUUUUGUCAGGGAAGAAACACCGGCUCUAACACAGUCCGGGAAUGACGGUACCUGAAGAAUAAGCACCGGCUAACUACGUGCCAGCCGCCGCCGUAA